UACGUAGGGGGCCAGCGUUGUCCGGAAUCAUUGGGCGUAAAGCGCGCGUAGGCGGUCAGGUAAGUCCGGUGUGAAAGUCAAAGGCUCAACCUUUGAAUGCCGCUGGAUACUGCUUGACUUGAGUCCGGAAGGGGCGAGUGGAAUUCCUGGUGAGUAGCGGUGAAAUGCGCAGAUAUCAGGAGGAACACCAAUGGCGAAGGCAGCUCGCUGGGACGUUACUGACGCUGGAGACGCGAAAGCGUGGGGAGCAAACAGG
rnacentral:rRNA from 1 species